GGUCUAGUGGUCUAGCGGUUAUGAUAUCUGUCUAACAUGAAAGUUCUACAUUUGGGUACACAGAUGGUUCCUGGUUCGACCCCAGGCUAGAUCA